rnacentral:lncRNA from 9 species
AAAGUUUUAUAUAAGAGUCAGUAGGCCCUGGCCGUAGAAGUAUCAAUAUUUAUGACACAGUCUCUAUCUUGUUAAUUAUUCUUUGUGGUGUCACUAUGGGGGUAUUAUAACAGAUUGUCUAAACAUCUGACAAAUUUCUCAGAAGGUUGGGCUGACAUUUUUUUUUUUAAUAUUUUGGAGAAAGAUGAAUAACCUCUUCUUUUUUCCCCCAAAGGAACUGGAGGGCUGAAAGUUACAAACUGAUUUUCAAAGAGACAGAACUAAAGAGUAAAAACAACCCUGUCUAAGCAAAGAUUGCAUAGUGAUAACAAAAACUAAGGGCUUUUAAAUAUUUAUAUCAGUUAUUUCUCUGAAUGUUCUAACAUUCUUACUGAAGUAUCCAACUGUUGAUCAGAUCUAGCUUAAAGUUUUGAGACUGCUCGUCAUUCAUUAGUUGUGUGACUUUGACAGAUGACUUAAGCUACCCAAAUGUCACUUUACCCAUCUGUAAUAAAGGGACAGAAAUAUUCUCCCAUGAUUAGAUUGUUAUGAUUAGGUGAGAUGACUUGAGUAAAGCACUCAUAGACCUUAAUUAUUAUCACCACCAUUACUGUCACACCCAGAAAAAAAGCUGACUUAUUGGGCAAGAGACUAUUACCAAAAAGACUGUCACAGAGAAGAAAUAAUCCUAAGAUGCAGAUGCCCAUGGAAGUAGCAGUAACGCCCAUGAUGUCCAAAGAAUCUCAGUGAAGCAGGACAAGAGGUCAUAAUAAAGCCAACUAUUUUUGGCAGCAGUGAACAAGCUCCAAGAGACAGAAUCCUUGGGAUUUCCAGAGUGAUAGAAGCAUCUUUGUUAUCUAAUGAGGUGACCCAUGAUGGACCUCUAGAAAGCUUCAGGAUAGAGCUGGUAAGUAGAAAGUCCAACCACAUGAUAAAAGUUUGGGAUUUUCCAGGGAGGGGAAGGGACUGGAGCUUGUGUUAAGUCAUCACUUGACCAAUAAUUUAAUUAACCACAGCUGCAUAAUAAAUGUUCAGUAAAGACUGUUAACAUAGGACUCAAUGGGGCUUCCUGGUUGAUGAACACAUACAUUGAUGUGCCAGGAAGGUAACAUGUGUCCUCAAUCCACAAGGAGUGGGCAUAGAAGCUUUGCAUUCCCUCCCAGACCUCAUCCAAUGUCUCUUUAUUGGACUGGUACUCCUGAUGUAUAUUCUCUGUGAUGAAAUUUUGAUAGUAAGUAUGGUAAAUUAUUGAACCUGAAGAGUUUGUGGGAAACUUAAAAUUUAUAGUCAGUCAUUCAAAAGUGCGAAUAGCCUGGGAACGCCCAGAUGUGACUAGUGUCUGAAGUAAGGCAUUCUUUUUGGGGGCUACGCCUUUUAGCUUGCAUUAUCUGAGUUAGCUUUGAGGAGCUCAUGUCAGAAUUGAAUUGUAACCCAUAGAGUUAGGGUUGAAAAGGAAUAGGGACUUAGACCACGCCACACAAUUGGUCCUUACUAAAUGCCAGUUACCUUAU